GACGAACGCUGGCGGCGUGCUUAACACAUGCAAGUCGAACGGAAAGGCCCUGCUUUUGUGGGGUGCUCGAGUGGCGAACGGGUGAGUAACACGUGAGUAACCUGCCCUUGACUUUGGGAUAACUUCAGGAAACUGGGACUAAUACCGGAUAGGAGCUCCUGCUGCAUGGUGGGGGUUGGAAAGUUUCGGCGGUUGGGGAUGGACUCGCGGCUUAUCAGCUUGUUGGUGGGGUAGUGGCUUACCAAGGCUUUGACGGGUAGCCGGCCUGAGAGGGUGACCGGCCACAUUGGGACUGAGAUACGGCCCAGACUCCUACGGGAGGCAGCAGUGGGGAAUAUUGCACAAUGGGCGGAAGCCUGAUGCAGCAACGCCGCGUGCGGGAUGACGGCCUUCGGGUUGUAAACCGCUUUCGCCUGUGACGAAGCGUGAGUGACGGUAAUGGGUAAAGAAGCACCGGCUAACUACGUGCCAGCAGCCGCGGUGAUACGUAGGGUGCGAGCGUUGUCCGGAUUUAUUGGGCGUAAAGGGCUCGUAGGUGGUUGAUCGCGUCGGAAGUGUAAUCUUGGGGCUUAACCCUGAGCGUGCUUUCGAUACGGGUUGACUUGAGGAAGGUAGGGGAGAAUGGAAUUCCUGGUGGAGCGGUGGAAUGCGCAGAUAUCAGGAGGAACACCAGUGGCGAAGGCGGUUCUCUGGGCCUUUCCUGACGCUGAGGAGCGAAAGCGUGGGGAGCGAACAGGCUUAGAUACCCUGGUAGUCCACGCUGUAAACGGUGGGUACUAGGUGUGGGGUCCAUUCCACGGGUUCCGUGCCGUAGCUAACGCUUUAAGUACCCCGCCUGGGGAGUACGGCCGCAAGGCUAAAACUCAAAGGAAUUGACGGGGCCCCGCACAAGCGGCGGAGCAUGCGGAUUAAUUCGAUGCAACGCGUAGAACCUUACCUGGGUUUGACAUGGAUCGGGAGUGCUCAGAGAUGGGUGUGCCUCUUUUGGGGUCGGUUCACAGGUGGUGCAUGGCUGUCGUCAGCUCGUGUCGUGAGAUGUUGGGUUAAGUCCCGCAACGAGCGCAACCCUUGUUCACUGUUGCCAGCACGUUAUGGUGGGGACUCAGUGGAGACCGCCGGGGUCAACUCGGAGGAAGGUGGGGAUGACGUCAAGUCAUCAUGCCCCUUAUGCCCAGGGCUUCACGCAUGCUACAAUGGCUGGUACAGAGAGUGGCGAGCCUGUGAGGGUGAGCGAAUCUCGGAAAGCCGGUCUCAGUUCGGAUUGGGGUCUGCAACUCGACCUCAUGAAGUCGGAGUCGCUAGUAAUCGCAGAUCAGCAACGCUGCGGUGAAUACGUUCCCGGG
rnacentral:rRNA from 1 species